ensembl:lncRNA
AUGCCCGAGGCCGAGACGGGGCCCGAUGCCGAGACGGUGCCCGAUGCCGAGACGGUGCCUGAUGCCGAGACGGUGCCCGAUGCCGAGGCGGUUGCCGAGACGGUGCCCGAUGCCGAGGCGGUGCCCGAGGCGGUCCCCGAUGCCGAGGCGGUGCCCGAUGCCGAGGCGGUGCCCGAGGCCGAGGCGGGGCCCGAGGCCGAGGCGGUGCCCGAUGCUGAGGCGGUGCCCGAGGCGGUGCCUGAUGCGGUUCCCGAUGCAAUGUCCGAUGCCGAGGCAGUGCCCAAUGCCGAGGCGGUGCCCGAGGCGGUCCCCGAGGCCGAGGCGGUGCCCGAGGCGGUGGCCGAGGCGGUCCCCGAUGCCGAGGCGGUGCCCGAUGCGGAGGCCGUUCCCGAUGCGGUGUCCGAGGCAGGGUCCGAGGCCAUUCCCGAGGCGGUGCACGAGGCAGUGUUCGAUGCGGUGCCAGAGAUGGGUCCCGAGGCCGACUCGGUUCCCGAUGCCGUUGUGGGACCCGAGGCCAUUCCCGAUGCGGUGCCCGAGGCGCUGUCCGAUGUGGUGCCCGAGAUGGUUCCCGCGGUCGAGGCACUUCACGUCUCCACAGGCCGUCCAGAGCACCUUCACGUCUCCACAGACCGUCCACUCUGGUCGCUCAAGUGGCGAGUUCCUCCCUGGCUGUCUGCACAACUGAGAUGGACUGAUCCACCCUGGCCACCUGAACUGUCUGGUCCCUCGUGGUCCCCUGAACUUUCGGGUCCACCCUGGCUACCUGUACUGCCUGGUCCCUCGUGGUCCCCUGAACUUUCGGGUCCACCCUGGCCACCUGAACUGCCUGGUCCCUUGUGGUCCCCUGAACUUUUGGGUCAACCCUGGCCCCCUGAACUGUCUGAUCCACCUUGGCUGCCGGUGGAGCCAUUACUGCCGGUCCCCGUUCUCCUACACGGGCCUGGCCCGCCAUCCCUCCCACUGUUCUACCUCAACCAGUCCAACUCCCUCCUGGUCUUUUUGAUUUGUUUUUUUGAUCUGGGGAGCAUCUGGAAGCUGCUCCUUAGAGGGGGGGCUAAUGUCACAGUGUCUGUUCUGUGUCUCCCUGGGUGGCCACUAGAGGUCUCACUUCCCCUGAUUGUCACCCCCUUCUGA